CCGAACGAUUUAGUCAGCUAGUUUUUCGUCUCUUCAAUUAACUUCAUAUGGCAAUACCAUUUUUUUCCUCGAUUACAGUUGUACUAGUUUUUUCUGUUGAGUUCACGCUACUUUUCGCUGGAGACCGGAGCUGAAAAGCAUUGAUGGUCAGUAACAGACUGACUUACAGGUCAGGAUCUGCAAAUAGAUGAAGAGUCAAUUUUUUGACGAUGAAAACAUAUGACCCCGAAACAUGCGUGAGAACUUUCCAGAACUAGAUAUUAACUGUUCCUUCGAAAAUUUGAUUGGAUAAAACCAAUCAAAUUUUCGAAAAUUUAGCAGGGAAUGAUGUAGCAUGUACCACAAAUUACUUUGGAGAACCCCUCGUACUAUUUCUUCAGCUCAGAAUCAACAGCGGUGUGUGCUUCUGAGUGUCUUUCUCUGUGUAGAAUGAGAUGCAUGGCAAUGCGAGUGCCAUUCCCAUUUUCGAUUUGGGCGGCUGACCAUAUUGAGUACCAGGUGUAACUCGACGGCUCAAUUUAGCCAGGACGCAGAGCACCAACACAUGCCUCGUAGACUUUUUUUUCAUUUUCUGUUUUUUUCCCCCAAGUGGAAAGAGUCUUUCGGCGGGUUUUCUUGUUCUUGGAAACCUAAAACCGGCCAGCGACUCGACUUAAACUGCGCUCGGGAGAUGAAAAGACAAUUGCCCGCGAAUGUUUGAAAGCGGGACAAAUCCAAGCACAGAAGGGACUUCGGAACGACUACGGAAUUGCUAACAUCGUUAACAAUUGCGUAGUUCCGGUUCCAAUGAAUAUCUGUCUGAUCUGAGGAUCGAAAAGUGUGGUCGCCCAUUCCGACUUUGUCCGUGGAAGAAGGCGGAAGCGGUUAGUGAUUUUGUACCGCGUGUUACCCGUGUUGAAGUGAGAUUAGAAAACUAGUAGUGCGAAUUAAUUGAUACGCUGAAGAAGUUAGAUACUCUCCAGUGCACCAGCAAACCUAAUUGGAGAAAAAGCCGCUUACUGACCCCACGUGCGAGGUCUGGAAGUUACCAUCAUACUCGUCAAUUCUGGUGGCCGCGCGGUGCGCUUACGCAAGACGGCACUCGCGCCAAAAGGGGAAACAGCACACAGUACGCAGCACGGAGCCAUCACUCGUCCGUGUGCGUACUCGAGAUUCAUUGUCCCGUUCAACGUCUGCAGCGAACGACGGUAAAGCAGAACCACGUAAA